AGAAAUUUAUAGUACAUCUCAAUAAUUUGGUCAGGGAAAUUGAAUCAAAUGUCUCAGGAGCUCACCUGUAGUUGUCAGGAGGAGGCAGCCUUUACCUGGCUGAGAGUUCAGCUAGCCUGAUAUCUGGAAACUUGUUUAAAAAGGAGGCUCACUCACUCAUAGGACAAACAUAUGCUAUGCUAAGCCGCUUCAGUCGCAUACAACUCUGUGGAACCCAAAAACGGCAGCCCACCAGGCUCCGCCGUCCCUGGGAUUUUCCAGGCAAGAGUAAUGGAGUGGGGUGCCAUAUAUAACUGAGCAGUAAAGAAGCCGCCUGCUAACGCAGGUGACGCGGUUGGAUCCCUGGGUCUGCAAGACACACUGGAGAAUGAAAUGGCAACCCACUCCAGCAUUCUUGCCUGGAAAACCCCAUGGACAGAGGACCCUGCUAGGCUACUGCCCAUGGGGUCAUAAAGACUCAAACACGACUUAAGAAACUGAGCACGCACGAACCUGAGUCCCAUCUAUUGCUCUGUCCACUGGCAAACAGAAUUCUACACAGAGCACACUGGAAUCGUGACAGGGAGCACACAGCUCAAAGGUCGCAACUCCUCUGUGACAGUGAAUGACAGUAUAUACCAUCAGUCUCCAAGGUUGGGGUCAUGUAAAAAUGUGGUUCCUUCUGAACUGGAGAAAAUGAAAUAGUUCAGAGGAAAUAUGGAUCAGGAAUUAAUCCCCAGGGUGUGCAGCCACCAGCAAGGAAUACAUAAAAUGGCUGUUUCCAGGAAAGCAAAAGCUCAUAAUGAGAUCCUGUCCCUGAGUUACUGACUGGCUGGGUAUGGCAAAUCUGGCCUAAUUAUUUUCACAAUGGGAAUUUAAUUGAAGUGUCUUUGAUGAGAAAAAAAAGAUUCCAUGGAUACGCUUGUGAUGACAUCUCAGUUCUAACUGAGAUGCUUGUGACAUUCUGUAACCAACACAGAGGGGUGGCCCAAGGGACAAGCAGAGUCUGAGGGUCAGGUUGCCUGCCCACGCCCUCCUAACCCCCUGGGCCCAACACUGCUGCAGAGACUGUCCUGCAUUCCACCACGAGGACACGUGGUCCCCUCAAAGUCUUACCAAAUCCACCAACAAAACCGUGCUUCCUCAGGGCCCCAGUUCAACUUACAGGGUUCUCAGACAUGGAUGAGGCAUGUGGCUCCUUCAGUCAGAUGGCUUGGAUUCAUAUCUCCUCUCUAUCACAGAAUGCGACUCGUCCACAUAGUUCCCAAAGUAAGGACAUGCUACUGAAUCGCACACCAACUUCAGCCUGAAAUUGCAUAAGGCUAAAUCCCAGAAGAGAAUAUUUCUCUCAUUCAUUCAAUAAGGAUUUGCUAACUAUCUACUAAGUUGCAGGAUCUCUUUGGAUAUUUGAGAUACAUCAAGAACAGAUGAUAAAACCUCCACGCAUGAAGCUUAUACUCUAUUCACAAUGGCUCUUUUCUGCCUAUAGCGUUAACAAGAAAAUCAACCUGAAGGGCUUCCUUGGCAGUUCAGUGGUUAAGACUCCACACCUCUGAUUCAGGGGGGUGAAGGUUCCACCCCUGGUCCAGGAACUAUUAAGAUCCCAUAUGCCACAUGGCAUGGCCAAACAAUUAAACAGAAAAGAAACACAGACAAUGAACCUGAACAACUCGAUGGCGAGAAAAACCGUAACUUCUCUGCUUUCAUUUGAGAAUAAACAAGAAAAAUCCAGGCACAAUCAAUGCUCUCUGAGUCCUUCUUUAUGACUUUCAAUUCCAAGUAGACAAAAUUUAGGACAUCUUUUAGAAAAAAACUUUUAAAAAAUAUAGGAAUCCAGUUCACCAUGCAAGGCAAGCCCAUGAAAGAGCCCACAUGAGGUUUCAAAGCUGGGGCAGCCUAGCAGCUGCCAUAUGUGCCUAUACAGUAGUGUGCUGUUUCUGGGUGUUUUAAGUAAAAGAAAGGGAGCAGCUAUAAAUGAUGAGAAGUACAAAGCUGAGAGUCAUACAAAGAAACAAACCAAAACACACUGUCAAGAGCACUGACACUGUAGUUCACAAGAAGCACAGUUUAGCAUCUGAUGAAUAAACCAUUUUGGUUUUCACAGCAUUCCUCCAUGAAGAGUUCAUUGAGACAUAUUACACUCCACGAACAAAGAGUAUUGAGGUGUUUGUUUUCAAGGUGCCACUUAACUUUGAAAGCAUGUAGCUAAUAUAUUGCCUGUGGUAUCCAACAGGCAGGUGCAAGAAGAGCAAACAUUCCUAAGGUUUUAAAAAUAGUAGGAUAUUAUAACUUGGAAAGCAAGCUCUAACGUACCAAAAGCCAGAGAUCAGUCAACUCCGUUUAAAAUAGAAUUUCCUCACUGCUGUAGCGCCUUCAAACAUACCAUUGUGCAAAAUCAGAUUAAAUGCUUCCCAGAGAUCCUCAGAUGAUUGUCCCUUCUGCCAAGCACUUUCUUUUGAAUCAAAAAAUACAUAAAGACUAAAAGAAAAAGAAAACUGUAUUACACCAAAAGGAUCAUUCUUACUACCUUAUGCUUAAAAAAAAUUCUUGUCAACUGUUAGACAUUUGAUUCUCACAAAAAUACUGGGAGAUUGGUAGGGUACAUAGCAUAACAUUUCACAUAUAAGAAAUUAAGACAGUAGGGUUGACUCACACAGUUGUGCAUGUUGCUCACUGCACAAGGUUUUCCAGCCAAGCAGGCCAGUGAGCACAGGGCUACAACCACAUAGAAGGAGCACUUUUUUCUAACGUGCAUUAACAGCCCCAUAUACUUCCCACUAGUCCCAUUUACUGCGAGCUUAUGGGGUAAACCACCGCAAUGAUGCCUCUUUCUAAUUUGCACAAGGGCACAGUAUAGAAUGGUGGAAACUCUUUCCCAAGGCCACCCAAAACUGCUCGUAUUGAAGGAAGCACAAUGACUGGAAUCGAGGUCUACUGACUUCCAGCUCAUGACUUUAAAUGAAGGUAAAAAUUCUCACAGCAAACGAAUUUCCUACUUCCUAGAGAGAGUCACUUAGCGCCAUCCAGGGAUCCCUGGAAGGACUGCUUUGUGACUAGAAGAGUGUAGUGUCCACUGUGCUAGAAGCGCACUGACCAUCUCUAGAUGCGUGUUCUUUUCUUCAGGUGCUCUUCUCCUCUUCCCCUGGCCUUACCUUUCAAAUAUCUUCCUCAGUCUUUAUUUACUAUGUGCCAGGCACUUUGCUAAGUAUUUUAUAAGAAUUCUUUCCAGGACUUGCCUGGGGGUCCAGUGGUUAAGACUCUGAGUUGUCUUCCGAAACAAGAGAAGCCCAAAUGAGAAGCCCAUCAAUGCAACUAGAGAAAGUCUGGGCGCAGCAAUGAAAACCCCGCACAGUCAAAAAUAAACAAAU
rnacentral:lncRNA from 1 species